rnacentral:lncRNA from 10 species
CUCCCGGCCCCCUGAUUUCUAGGGGACGGCAGGAAGGGAACUAGAGGGCAGGAGGAGUCUGAAGCUCAGGCAUGCUGAAGUUCAUACAUCUGGUAACUGGCAGAGCCCAGAUUUGAACCCAGUGGAGAAAUCACCAAAGGAGGCCACAACAUCAAGAAAAUAGUCUCUUUUACCACCGAUUCUGAGCAAAGCAAUGAAAAACAGCUUCAACAAAAAGCUAAUUAGAA